UUCCUGGUAGUCUAGUGGUUAGGAUUCAGGGCUUUUACCACUGCUACCUGGAUUCAAUUCCUGGCUAGGGAA
rnacentral:tRNA from 1 species